rnacentral:rRNA from 1 species
ACCUCAGGUCAGGCGGGGCUACCCGCUGAGUUUAAGCAUCUCAAUCCGCGGGGAAAAGAAACUAACAAGGAUUCCUUAGUAACGGCGAGCGAACGCGGAACAGCCCACAAUGAUAAUCGUCGCCCCUGGCGUUCUGAAUUGUAG